UCCUGGGUGGCUCAGUCGUUAAGCAUCUGACUUUGGCUCAGGUCAUGAUCUCAUGGUUUGUGAGUUCAAGUCCCACAUCAGGUG
rnacentral:tRNA from 1 species